CGUCGAACGAAGUAGCAAUACUUAGUGGCAGACGGGUGAGUAACAUGUGGGUAUCUGCCCUUUGGCCUGGAAUAACACGAGGAAACUUGUGCUAAUACCGGAUAAGUCUUUACGGAGAAAGCUUUAUGCACCAUUGGAUGAGCCCGCACUUGAUUAGUUUGUUGGUGGGGUAAUGGCCUACCAAGACUGUGAUCAAUAGCUGAUUUGAGAGGAUGAUCAGCCACAUUGGGACUGAGACACGGCCCAAACUCCUACGGGAGGCAGCAGUGGGGAAUCUUGCACAAUGGAGGAAACUCUGAUGCAGCGAUGCCGCGUGAGUGAAGAAGGCCCUUGGGUUGUAAAGCUCUUUCGUCGGGGAAGAAAAUGACUGUACCCGAAUAAGAAGGUCCGGCUAACUUCGUGCCAGCAGCCGCGGUAAU
rnacentral:rRNA from 1 species